AUUGAACGCUGGCGGCAUGCCUUACACAUGCAAGUCGAACGGCAGCGGGCCUUCGGGUGCCGGCGAGUGGCGAACGGGUGAGUAAUGCAUCGGAACGUGCCAUUGAGUGGGGGAUAACGUAGCGAAAGUUACGCUAAUACCGCAUAUUCUGUGAGCAGGAAAGCAGGGGACCGCAAGGCCUUGCGCUCUUUGAGCGGCCGAUGUCAGAUUAGCUAGUUGGUGAGGUAAAGGCUUACCAAGGCGACGAUCUGUAGCGGGUCUGAGAGGAUGAUCCGCCACACUGGAACUGAGACACGGUCCAGACUCCUACGGGAGGCAGCAGUGGGGAAUUUUGGACAAUGGGCGCAAGCCUGAUCCAGCCAUGCCGCGUGAGUGAAGAAGGCCUCGGUUGUAAGCUCUUCGUCCGGGAACGGAAAUACGCAUGGGUUAAGUAA
rnacentral:rRNA from 1 species